UUCGGGGAAUCCGGUGACAGGUGCUGCAUGGCUGUCGUCAGCUCGUGUCGUGAGAUGUUGGGUUAAGUCCCGCAACGAGCGCAACCCUUGUCUUUAAUUGCCAUCAUUCAGUUGGGCACUUUAAAGAGACUGCCGGUGUUAAGCCGGAGGAAGGUGGGAUGACGUCAAGUCCUCAUGGCCUUUAUGCCCAGGGCUACACACGUGCUACAAUGGGCGGUACAAAGAGAAGCAAUCUCGCGAGGGUGAGCAAAUCUCAAAAAGCCGUUCUCAGUUCAGAUUGUAGGCUGCAACCCGCCUGCAUGAAGAUGGAGUUGCUAGUAACCGCAGGUCAGCUAUACUGCGGUGAAUACGUUCCCGGGGCUU
rnacentral:rRNA from 1 species